GAUGAAGAACGCAGCGAAAUGCGAUAAGUAGUGUGAAUUGCAGAAUUCAGUGAAUCAUCGAAUCUUUGAACGUACAUUGCGCCCCUUGGUAUUCCAUGGGGCAUGCCUGUUCGAGCGUCAUUUGUACCUUCAAGCUUUGCUUGGUGUUGGGUGUUUGUCUCGCCUUUGCGUGUAGACUCGCCUUAAAAUAAUUGGCAGCCGGCGUAUUGAUUUCGGAGCGCAGUACAUCUCGCGCUUUGCACUCAUAACGACAGCGUCCAAAAGUACAUUUUACACUCUUGACCUCGGAUCAGGUAGGGAUACCCGCUGAACUUAAGCAUAUCAAUAAGCGGAGGA
rnacentral:misc_RNA from 1 species